rnacentral:rRNA from 1 species
UCGCGGCCUAUCAGCUUGUUGGUGAGGUAAUGGCUCACCAAGGCAUCGACGGGUAGCUGGUCUGAGAGGACGAUCAGCCACACUGGGACUGAGACACGGCCCAGACUCCUACGGGAGGCAGCAGUAGGGAAUCUUGCGCAAUGGGCGAAAGCCUGACGCAGCAAUGCCGCGUGCGGGACGAAGGCCCUAGGGUCGUAAACCGCUUUCAGUAGGGACGAAAAUGACGGUACCUGCAGAAGAAGCUCCGGCCAACUACGUGCCAGCAGCCGCGGUGAUACGUAGGGAGCAAGCGUUGUCCGGAAUUACUGGGCGUAAAGGGCUCGUAGGUGGUUGAGUAAGUCAGAUGUGAAAUCUCAGGGCCCAACCCUGAGCCUGCAUUUGAUACUGCUCUGACUAGAGUCCGGUAGGGGAGUGCGGAACUCCUGGUGUAGCGGUGAAAUGCGCAGAUAUCAGGAAGAACACCGACAGCGAAGGCAGCACUCUGGGCCGGUACUGACACUGAGGAGCGAAAGCAUGGGUAGCGAACAGGAUUAGAUACCCUGGUAGUCCAUGCCGUAAACGGUGGGCGCUAGGUGUAGGGGUCUUCCACGACUUCUGUGCCGUAGCUAACGCAUUAAGCGCCCCGCCUGGGGAGUACGG